rnacentral:rRNA from 1 species
GAUGAACGCUGGCGGCGUGCCUAAUACAUGCAAGUCGAGCGAGCGGACGAGAAGCUUGCUUCUCUGAUGUUAGCGGCGGACGGGUGAGUAACACGUGGAUAACCUACCUAUAAGACUGGGAUAACUUCGGGAAACCGGAGCUAAUACCGGAUGAUAUUUUGAACCGCAUGGUUCAAAAGUGAAAGACGGUCUUGCUGUCACUUAUAGAUGGAUCCGCGCUGCACUAGCUAGUUGGUAAGGUAACGGCUUACCAAGGCAACGAUGCAUAGCCGACCUGAGGGGGUGAUCGGCCACACUGGAACUGAGACACGGUCCAGACUCCUACGGGAGGCAGCAGUAGGGAAUCUUCCGCAAUGGGCGAAAGCCUGACGGAGCAACGCCGCGUGAGCGAUGAAGGUCUUCGGAUCGUAAAACUCUGUUAUUAGGGAAGAACAUAUGUGUAAGUAACUGUGCACAUCUUGACGGUACCUAAUCAGAAAGCCACGGCUAACUACGUG